CUGAGGAGGCCUUAAAAUCCUAAUCAAGCAAGGUGACUGCAAUACGCUAAAGUUGAAAUCUGGUCAAUUGUGUUACAUUCAGUCUGAAGAAGGACCACAUUACUACCAAGGUGAUGCUGAAGCCGCGGCUCUGGAGACCUCACUCGGAGAACCACCGCCCUACAGGAAGCAAAGCCCAGAGAAUUCUUCCUGCUCUGGCGCUGGAAAAGAACUUUCCCUGCCAAGAGCAUCCUGAAGGGAAGCAAUCGAAGGCAAAUGUAGAGCAAAACCAUUUUCCUGGCUCCAAGGAUGAGGCUGAGACUUACAAGCAUGAUAAGCCUUCAUGUAAUAGCUGUCACUACAUAGUGAAAAGACUUGGAAUUAUAAAAGAUAAUUGUUCUUGUAUUCCUGCUUCCAUGAACUGGGUUCCUGGUACAUGCAGUGAUAAGAGAGUUGGCCAGGACUGGUCCCAGCUCUAAGUCAUGGAGGACUACAUUUGUGACUUGAGAGACUCCUGUCUCCCUCCAGAAAACCUGGUCAGUGAAUGUCAUCCUAUUUUCAGGGAGUGGGGUGUGGAGUAGGAAGUUAGUACAUUGCUUCCAGAAGACCCUGGAGAAAAUAUGUGUACUACAGUCCAUUCUGAAGGAGAUCAACCCUGGGAUUUCUUUGGAAGGAAUGAUGCUAAAGCUGAAACUCCAGUACUUUGGCCACCUCAUGCGAAGAGUUGACUCAUUGGAAAAGACUUUGAUGCUGGGAGGAAUUGGGGGCAGGAGGAGAAGGGGACGACAGAGGAUGAGAUGGCUGGAUGGCAUCACUGACUCGAUGGACGCGAGUCUGAGUGAACUCUGGGAGUUGGUGAUGGACAGGGAGGCCUGGCAUGCUGCGAUUCAUAGGGUCACAAAGAGUCGGACACGACUGAGCGACUGAACUGAACUGAACUGAUAAGGGAUGAGGAACACAGCAGAAAUGACAUUCUUCACCUCUUCCUCAAAGGAACUCAGGGCACUCCCUGGGUAGGAUGAGGUUGAAGGUCAAAAGGAAGAAGAGAAUCAGAGUUGGCCAGUCUGGGUAGGGUGCAGCAAGAAUGAGCCGUUGGGUAUCUUCCUAGGGGACACUUAUGGAUCUAGUAAGCAAGGAGGCAGAAAAAGAAGACCUGAAAGUUCUGGUGAUCUCUGAGAAAAGAAACCCCAUUCUUUCCUUCUCCAUCCUUACAUCACUCUUGGGCCCAGGGCACCUUCUAUUUCAUUUCAUCUUGCUGACCACAAGGCAGGGAGGCUCCACCUGUGCCCAAAGUUACUCUGUAUCCCUUAGUACAUCCAGGUGUCCUCAAAUGCUUCCAAUUUCCCUUCCUCAGGGUUGCUGUUCCAGGAAAGAAGGUUCUAAAUUAAUAGUCUACAAACUCCCCCUGCAUGUUGGUUUGCAAAAUUAAUGAUCCUUAUGAAAAAGUAAAUUAAUCUUUGAUGCUUGGUUGAGGCUAAGAGAAAAAUCACUGUUUGGGGGGACUGGGCCUUCUUAAUACCCCUCAUCCAAAGCAUUCUCUCACUCCCUUCUGGACUAACCACAUUCACAGAGAUUGGGAGGGAGGGGUGGACAACACAGCUUGAAAGUCCAUCUCUGAAUCCACAGGGCCGUGUUGCAAACAUUUAUCAAAUGCCUGUUUGUGCAGCUCAAUGGAACUGUGCCAGAGAGAAGCCCGGAAAGGCUGCAGGGAGGAAGCCCCCUGAUGUGAUGUUCCUCCCUUGUCAAGUUUUACUUGCACUUUCUACAUACACAGUUUGAAAAGACUGCAAUAAACAUUUUGUAAAAUGUAAAUACCAUGACCAUGGUUUCUUCAGUUUUAGGAGGAACACAGCAGCUUUGCCAAAAGCCGUCAUCACAGGUCCCAGGGUUCACAGAUCUCUCGGGAUUAGAUAGAUAUUAAAGGAAUUGGAAGUUCUGGUUGCCUCGCUGUGUUUUUCUAGCCCAAGACUCUGCUGCACUGCAUUGCUCAGUUCCUUUCAACUGAAAAAUUAAAUCUGCACUCCUGUCAAAAUGUGUCAUCUGCACACCCGAACACUUAUCCCAGUUCAUCAUGCUUUCUGCGGAGUCGAGGUGGAAAGAAUGCUGCAGCUCCCACUUGUGAGGCCUGGGAGACCAGGUGUUUGAGAGGAUCCGAACAACUGUUGUCCUGGGAGUGUCCUGGAAGCCGACUGGGAAUUCCACGGGAACCUCGGUGCUAGGAAAAUAGCUAGUGUCCGUCCGUUUCGUCGGGUGUGAAUCACCCUGGUUGGGCUGAGAGAACAUGAAGGACCUCGUCAGCGCUGUAGAACCUGCCAAAUACACAUCAGAACCAGGGGCGUGUGUGUGGAGGAGGCGGCACACUAUCCGGAGGCUUUUCUUCGAGGUCUGUUUAUCCUUUGUGCCCCACGGCUGGUGGGUUCUUUGAAUGUAAACUCUUGGAAAGGGCCGAGGGAGCCUCUUUCACGCCCGGGGGAGUAUCUUGCUCGUCUGUAAAAGCUGAAUGACAGCGGCAAUUUCGGCCUGGAAGGGCCGGUGCGGAUUGGGUCUGGUGACCCUCUCGCAGGCGCGGCUCGGGGCCAAGACCGGGGACACCAUGGAGAGGCCGCGGCGCACCGGGCCCGGGCGCAGUCUGCGGGCGCUCGGAGGGGGCCCCACCUGGUCGCGGAGCCUGGGCCGG
ensembl:lincRNA